ACGGGAGGCAGCAGUGGGGAAUAUUGCACAAUGGGGGAAACCCUGAUGCAGCGACGCCGCGUGAAGGAAGAAGUAUCUCGGUAUGUAAACUUCUAUCAGGAGGGAAGAUAAUGACGGUACCUGACUAAGAAGCCCCGGCUAACUACGUGCCAGCAGCCGCGGUAAUACGUAGGGGGCAAGCGUUAUCCGGAUUUACUGGGUGUAAAGGGAGCGUAGACGGACUGGCAAGUCUGAUGUGAAAGGCUGGGGCUCAACCCCGGGACUGCAUUGGAAACUGUCAGUCUUGAGUGCCGGGGGGGUAAGCGGAAUUCCUAGUGUAGCGGUGAAAUGCGUAGAUAUUAGGAGGAACACCAGUGGCGAAGGCGGCUUACUGGACGGUAACUGACGCUGAGGCGCGAAAGCGUGGGGAGCAAACAGGAUUAGAUACCCUGGUA
rnacentral:rRNA from 1 species